ACCACCCUGUGACGUACGUGUGUGUGUGUGUGUGUGUGUGUGUGUACACCUUUGUCCACAGACAGCUUUCCGGGUCAUGUGGCCAGCAUGACUAAACUGCUUCUGGCGCAACAGAACACCGUGACAGAAAUCAGAGUGCAUGGAAAUGGCAUUUACCUUCCUGUCGCAGCAGUACCUGUUUCUCUACUUGUGCUGGUGUGCUUUCGAACUGCGAGGUUGGCAGAAGCUGGGACAGAGCAACGGGAGCUCCCCACCAUGGCACGGAUUCAGCAAGCCAAAGAGGAAACAUCACUAUAUAACACUGGUCUUGAAAGACCUACACUGGCUCCCAGUACGUUUCUGAGCACAAUUCAAAGUGUUGGUGCUGACCUUUAAAGCCCUAAACGGCCUCGACCUAGUAUACCUGAAGGAGCAUCUCCACCUCCAUCGUUCUGCCCGGACACUGAGGUCCAGUGCCGAGGGCCUUCUGGCGGUUCCCUCCCCGCGAGAAGCAAAGCUACAGGGAACCAGGCAGAGGGCCUUCUCGGUAGUGGCACCCGCCCUGUGGAACGCCCUCCUACCAGAUGUCAAAGAGAAAAACAAUUACCCAACUUUUAGAAGACAUCAGAAGGCAGCCCUGUUUAGGGAAGCUUUUAAUGUUUAAUAGGUUAUUGUAUUUUAGUGUUCUGUUGGAAGCCGCCCAGAGUGGCUGGGGAAACCCAACCAGAUGGGCGGGGUACAAAUAAUAAAUUAUUAUUAUUAUAUUAUCACUAUAGAAUACAAAAUCUUAUAAAUAUCUAUUAUAAUUGCCAAUGCAGACUCCAGUUAGCUUUCAGCAAUAGUGUGAUGGUGAGUGUUGAAGUACAGGAGUUCAUAAUUGCAACCUUCAGCCUCCAAGGAUAGGCCUGAAAAGCAGCUGUUGGGACUCAGAAGCAAACUUGAAAUCCUUAUUACCACCUCAGUCACUUGCUAGAGAAAGGAAAAUGUGCCAGUUGGCCUGGCACGACUCUGGCAGGCGAUGUCAUUGCUCCUUCUUUUGCAGGGGAAGUCCCAGGGCUUGGUCCCUUGUGUCCUUUGUGCUACACUGGAAAUUGCUAUGCAUUACUCAGUUGGCAGCUUCCCAUUAACUGCUGGUGACAGUGAAAUUUAGAGAGGGGUGGGGGAUUUACCUUACCAAAAUACAGUGGUACCUCAGGUUACAAACACCUCGGGUUACAAACGCUUCGGGUUACAGACUCCAUUAACCCGGAAGUAGUACCUCUGGUUCAGAACUUUACCUCAGGAUGAGAACAGAAAUCGCGUGCCGGUGGCAGAGGGAGUCCCCAUUAGCUAAAGUGGUAUCUCAGGUUAAGAACGGUUUUAGGUUAAAAACAGACCUCCAGAACGAAUUAAGUUCGUAACCAGAGGUACCACUGUAUGAAACUUUUUAAUGUAUUUGAUGCUAUUUUUAAAUUGUCUUUUAAUUUUUUAUUUUGCCCUGGCUCUAUUAUUAUUGAUUUUCAAUUCCAUAUAAGAUUAUUGUUCUAGCCAAAGACCAUGACAAACAGUACCAAUAAAACAAUACAGAUCCAUAAUAUGAGCCAACAUCCAUGCUGUAAGAGAGGGCUUAUUAGAGACACCAACAAACUCAAAUCCUUCUUAAUUUCAAAUUAAACCUCCAAAUCACCACAAUAAUUUAUAGUGUGUUUUUUUCUUGCAGCCAGUUCAUAGAGAACCACUCUGUGUUAUUAAGCUAUUCUGAAGCUAUUACUGUCACUCCAAGAAACCGGACCAUUUCUACCAGGGCGUAUCUGCUUGCUUGUAUGAGCAAAGGUUUCAGAAAGCAAUUGGAUCUUUAUAUAAGGAGCAGGCUAACAGAUAAUGAGUGAUGUCUUCCACCUGAGGCUGACCACAAAUUCAAAGUCUAUUUUGGUAUGGGAUGUUCUUGUAGCGGCCAUCCAAGACUGCAGUGGGCAUCGCUUGGAAAUACAGCUUAAUAAAGGCAUUUCUUAAGGAAGCCGGUGAGAGUUUGUCUGAUAACUAGCUCUAAAAUGCUCUGGAUACAAAUUUGGGGGGGGGGGCGAAAUUGGUGUUUCUAAUUAUUUGCAGGUCCCUUCUAUCCAGAAGAGCCAAUUCCUCAGCUGACACUUAUUCAAGGUCAAAGCAGAGCUCAGUUCUGGGAAACAUUAUUAUUAUUAAUUGCAUUUAUCCAUUACUUACUACAACAGUGUCUUAAAAUGACAUACAAUUAUAAAAGCAGGUAUGAUGUACAAUUUAAAAUAUACUAAAAAAGUAACACAACAUCAAUUGACUAAAGGUGUUCAUUGGGCAAUAACAAAAAAAGUGCAAAUCCUUUCCCACCCUACUAAAAUUCAGAUUUGGAGGAUCCCUCAGUAAAGAACAGGAAUGUCUUUGGUGUCUAAAAGCUGUUGUUGCUGUUACCACUCUACCCUAAGGCCCCAGGGCGGGUUACAACAAUUGCAGUUGUUAAUAAUGUUGUAAAUAAUGGUCACAUUUAUUAAUAAUGGUGCCUGGCAGCUCUCUCUAAGAAACAUUCCAUAACUGGGAAGCCACCCCUGAAAAGGCCCAUUCUUGUGUUGCCACCCUCUGCACCUUCCUCAGAAGAUGGGAGGCACAUGGCAAAAGGCCUCUGUCAUGCCUAGCCCUGACCUGCUGCCAGACACUGAGUCCUUGAAGGAUGAACCAGACACACAAACAGGCCAAGGCCCUUGUGGGUUGUCUGGCUUCUCUAGUUCAUGCAUUGGUAAGUUCAUCGCUGGGUUUUUGUAAUUCACUCUAUGUGGAGUUGCCUUAGAUUCAAACGCUGCCUGUAGGGACAGCUCACCUUUAAUAUAUAACACAUGUGUUGACAGCUCAGUACUGGCUGCCAAUACAUUAUCGAGCCAGAUUUAAAGUGCUAGCUUUGACAGCAGAAGCCCUACAUGGCUUGGAACCUAGAUACCUGAAAGACCACCUGCUUCCUUAUUUACCUGCCCUGACUUUGAGGUCAUGGGGGGAGGUGUCCUCAUGGUGCCACAGUUCUCUGAGAUAUAAUGCAGUGGCACUCUCAGCAGUGGCAGCACCCUGAUUCUGUAGUGCCCCCCUCCCCUCUCAGAUGCAAGCAGCACCAAUGCUAAUGGAGGUAAAUACAUGGCUAUUCACCCAAGCAUUUGGUUAAAAUAGUGCCCCUCACUUGACUGAUGUAGUUAUGCCGUUAGUAUGCUGCUUGAUUUUAUACGAAAUUGUAUUUAAAUGAAAUAAUCACUUUAUUGUAUUUCAGUGUUUUCCCUUGCUCUGGCCUUGUGUGAACAAUGUAGUUAUUUCAAUAAAUAAAUACAAAUAAAUUCCUUUAUAUACCUUU